GAAGCUCUUGAAAGGUCAUGAAAAAAAAUUUAUGAAUAUCCACGGUAUAAACUCUGAUUUUUUUGAAACUUCAAGAAUUAGGAUUCAACAACCCUCUUUUUCAAACAAAUUGCCUCUGGAAAUGAAGUUGGAUGAUUUAGAUGCUAAACCACUAAAACCAUCAUCUGAUGCUCUUAAAACUUUGCUUUUGAUACAAUCAGUUACAGUCGUCUCAGGAAAAUGAAAAAUCUUCUGGUCAGAAAAUUGAAAUGAGAAUUCAGAAUUAUUUAUCAAAAUGAUGUAGAAUAGGAUUAACUAUCCAAAGAAACAUUGAAUUAUUUCAAGGCUGAUUUGUAUAACUAUUUAACUUAUUAUACUUGAGCUACAGUAUACCUUGCUACAGUAUAUUGAAAGGAAAAGAUUGCCUCAGCAUUGAAAGAUUUAAGUAAAGAUAUCAAAAUCAAUCCAGCUGGAUUUA